UGGGAAUAGGAAGAGAGCUUGGUAGGAAGCGGACCGCGAUGGGAAAAGAGAAGAAGCAGGGUAGGAAGAAUAGAAUAGGCGUUCCAUCGAGUGAACCGGGACGCUUCUUCCUUUGGGACUGUUAGUUCGGCUUUUGAAAUCCAAACCUUCAUUAGCAGAAGAUUUGGAGCAGAAGAUGGUGUUCUGCAAACAGUGCUCUGUGGAAUUCUUAAUCUCCACCUGGACAGCCACCAGAACAGAGGUAACUUUGAAAUGAAGGUGUGCCUCAAGUCAACCGCAACCUAAGUGAGGCCUCAUUGCAGUGGCUGAGCUGUCUUCGAAAACAAUGCCACCCUUUAAGGUGUUGUGAACUUGGAGCUCGUCAAAUUCUUCUGGUGAGGACAGAGAAAGGUAAUGAGUGUUUCCCAAAGGCAGAAAAGAUUACACAUACAACUUGGAGACUAUAGGAGAAUGAGUCUAUGGGGCUUGUGGAGAACUAA